UGAGUACACGUGGGAACCUGCCUUUCGGUUCGGGAUAACGUCUGGAAACGGACGCUAACACCGGAUACGUCCUUCGGGAGAAAGUUACGCCGAGAGAGGGGCCCGCGUCCGAUUAGGUAGUUGGUGGGGUAAUGGCCCACCAAGCCGACGAUCGGUAGCUGGUCUGAGAGGAUGAUCAGCCACACUGGGACUGAGACACCGCCCAGACUCCUACGGGAGGCAGCAGUGGGGAAUA
rnacentral:rRNA from 1 species